GCACGGGCCUUCGCAAACAUGGCGUUGGCGUAUACCCACAUCUUGAUGUCUGCUUAGCCUACAGGCACUUGUUUGGAGAGGCUGUGGGACCUCGGGCAGCCUACUUCCCUUCCUGGGCGCGGUGUCCUCCCUGUGAAACAAGGCGCUUGGAUGAGCCUCCUUUUCAAAGCCCUCCCUCCCCGGGGGCUUCCCUCCUCCAGGAAGGCUGGCCUCUGACCCCAGGAGCUUCCAACUGAAGGAGCAGUCAAGUAGCCCAAGUCCUGGGAGCUCAGCUGCAGGGCGAUUUCCACUCGCGAUCAUCUUUCAGAGCCCUGGGACCCGAGGAUGAGCGGAGCAUGAUAACAUUUGCAGGCAGAGACUGAAGGGCUCCCUUCAGGUCACGUGGCUUCUCGAUUUUCACACUUCAUCAUCUGCUGCCCCACCUGGCCUCACUCAGUGAGUCUCCGGGUUGUGCGUGUCGAAGUUACCUGGGGACGCUGUUAAACGUACAGCUCUCUGAGCCUUCCUUGCUCCCACGGAUUCUCAUUCAACAUGUCUAGGCUGUAGCCAGGAAAUGGCAUGCUUAACAAGUACCUCCCAGGAUCCGCCUUGUGCUUUGAGCACCACUGUUCUAAUUGCUCUGAGUUUGGGGCUCACCCCCUGUUCAGGCCAGGACCUCAUCUGACUUUGCAGCAUAACAGGGAGCAAAGCGAAAGGAACAUGCCAGGUAUUCAAUCAAAAUUCAAGGAGGAACUGAAUCGAUGUGUAAGGAAAGCACGCAUCAGAGGAAACGUCACCAUCACCCAAACUACCAAACAAAGUCAUGCAGAGCUUUCCAGGGGAUGCUUGAGGAGCCAGGGCUCUGAAACCAAAGCCCCGCAAAGACAGGCGAUCUACCUCUGAACUUGGGAUCAAGAUGGCCAAUUGUCCAGGCCAGUCUUCCUGCCGCCUUGGGGGGAAGCUCCUUGAAAGUGUUUUGGCCUCAAUCACCUCGUUGGACUCUGGGAAGAGGAACCCCCUACCUUUUGACACUGGCCAUGGGAAUAUGGAGAGAAAAAAUAGCAAGUCUUCAGAAAAAACAGUCUCUGGAGACUAUGGUGGACAAUAGUUUUAAUGUCCCAGCCUCAAAAUAACUCAAACUUCAGGUUACUGAGAUGAAUAAAGGAACUUUAGUCAAACAUUA